rnacentral:rRNA from 1 species
UACGGAGGGUGCAAGCGUUAUCCGGAUUUACUGGGUUUAAAGGGUGCGUAGGCGGGCCAUUAAGUCAGUGGUGAAAGCUCCGAGCUUAACUCGGAAACUGCCCAUUAGAUACUAUUGUCUUGAAUUCGGUCGAGGUUGGCGGAAUGUGUCGUGUAGCGGUGAAAUGCUUAGAUAUGACACAGAACACCGAUUGCGAAGGCAGCUAGCUAGACCGACAUUGACGCUGAGGCACGAAAGCGUGGGAUCAAACAGGAUUAGAACCGU